rnacentral:rRNA from 1 species
UAGGGAAUCUUCGGCAAUGGACGAAGGUCUGACCGAGCAACGCCGCGUGAGUGAAGAAGGUUUUCGGAUCGUAAAACUCUGUUGUUAGAGAAGAACAAGGACGUUAGUAACUGAACGUCCCCUGACGGUAUCUAACCAGAAAGCCACGGCUAACUACGUGCCAGCAGCCGCGGUAAUACGUAGGUGGCAAGCGUUGUCCGGAUUUAUUGGGCGUAAAGCGAGCGCAGGCGGUUUCUUAAGUCUGAUGUGAAAGCCCCCGGCUCAACCGGGGAGGGUCAUUGGAAACUGGGAGACUUGAGUGCAGAAGAGGAGAGUGGAAUUCCAUGUGUAGCGGUGAAAUGCGUAGAUAUAUGGAGGAACACCAGUGGCGAAGGCGGCUCUCUGGUCUGUAACUGACGCUGAGGCUCGAAAGCGUGGGGAGCAAACAGG